UAAACUAGGAUUAGAUACCCUAUUAUUGUAUAUAUUAUUUUUACCUGGGUAGUAUUAGUUAUUUUCUUUAAAACCCGAAGAAUUUGGCGGUGUUUUAUUCUAUUUAGAGGAAUUUGUCCCGUUAUCGAUAAUCCUCGUUUUAUCUUACUUUAUUUUGUUUUCAGUAUGUAUACCGCUGUUAUAAGUUUAUUUUAUUAGAAUAUUAAUUUACUUUAAUUAUUAAUUUAAUUUAUUUCAA
rnacentral:rRNA from 1 species